UUUGAGCCGCUUAUCGGUGAUCCUGGUGAUGG
rnacentral:scRNA from 1 species